rnacentral:rRNA from 1 species
UACAGAGGGUGCAAGCGUUAAUCGGAAUUACUGGGCGUAAAGCGUGCGUAGACGGUUACAUAAGUCGGGUGUGAAAGCCCCGGGCUCAACCUGGGAAUUGCAUUCGAGACUGCGUAGCUAGGGUGCGGAAGAGGGAAGCGGAAUUUCCGGUGUAGCGGUGAAAUGCGUAGAUAUCGGAAGGAACACCUGUGGCGAAAGCGGCUUCCUGGUCCAGCACCGACGUCAGGCACGAAAGCGUGGGGAGCAAACAGG